GAUGAACGCUGGCGGCGUGCCUAAUACAUGCAAGUCGAGCGAACAGGCCCGGAUUUUGCGGCGCGGUCGAUAGCCGCGCGGGUGAGAAUAACGCGUGUAUACCCUCCCUGUCUGAGGGGUAACACUUGGGGAAACCGGAGCUAAUAGCGUAGGAGAUCUUGAACCGCGGUGGGCAAUGGAGAGAUACGGUGGUUGGGGCUCGUAUCGCGGCGUAUUAGCUAGUUGGUAAGGUAGUGGAUUACCAAGGCUAUGAUGGGUAGCCGACCUGAGAGGGUGAUCGGCCACCCUGGAACUGAGACACGGUCAAGACUCCUACGGGAGGCAGCAGUAGGGAAUCUUCCGCAAUGGGCGAAAGCUUGACGGAGCAACGCCGCGUGAGUGAUGAAGGUCUUCGGAUCGUAAAACUCUGUUAUUAGGGAAGAACAAAUGUGUAAGUAACUAUGCACGUCUUGACGGUACCUAAUCAGAAAGCCACGGCUAACUACGUG
rnacentral:rRNA from 1 species